rnacentral:rRNA from 1 species
AGCCAUGCAUGUUUCCGCAAUCAGGGACGAAUAGCUCAGUAAAACUGCGAUGAUUUAGUCUGGCUGUGUAGAUAACUACGUGAAAAUGUAGCUAAGGGAAGGCAGAAUAAGACGCAGGACUAUCAGUUAGUUGGUAGUGUAAUGGACUACCAAGACAGUGACGGUUGACGGGAAAUUAGGGUUUUGUACCGGAGAGGGAGCCUGAGAGAUUGCUCCCACGUCCAAGGACGGCAGCAGGCGCGAAAAUUGCCCACUCUUUGCAGGAGGCAGUUAUGAGACGUGAAGAUGAGUAUCUUGUAAAGAGGGAUAGGAGAAUUGGAGGGCAAGUUUGGUGCCAGCAGCCGCGGUAAUACCGACUCCAAGAGUGUGUAUGAGAGAUGCUGCAGUUAAAAAGUCCGUAGUCAUAGAAGGGCAAAGAGAGAUGCGAGGUCUCACAGUGCGAUGAUGGAGGAGCCGAUGGGGAACAUAGUAUACCAGGGCGAGAGAUGAAAUGCCAAGACCCCUGGUGGACUGAGCGAGGCGAAGGCGAUGUUCUUGUAGGCAUUCGGUGA